rnacentral:lncRNA from 1 species
CUAAAAGACUGACGACCAGUCUCCAAGUCUCAGACCUGAAACAAAUGAGGAAAAUGAUUAGUACAUUUUAUAUGAAUAAAAAAAAGAGAAUAAUCUGUGAUGUUGGCCAAAGGGAACAAAAACCCAUGAAAUAUCAUUCUCUCUUCUUUCUCAGUCAGACUGUAUGUUGACAUUCUGUUGUCAAGUCACCAGAUACUUUUCAGCAGCUCUCAGGUCAGUAGAUUUGCUGGCCAGAGACUGGAGGCAGCCAUCCACAGACCGCUAAGGGGCUUGAAUCUGUUUAUAUAUGUAUAUAUGCAGUAUAUUAUGUACGUACGUCUGGAUAAUUCUUGGAUGGCACCUUGAGCGAAGCCAAGCUCAAGGUGUUAGGAUGAAGUUUAACACUAGAAAGGUCAUGGAGGUCAUGCUCUUGUUUGUUUUGUGUGAUAAUUUAGCGCGUGGAACAGAUGGCGGCGUUUCCAUCUCCAUGGACUUUUGUUACUUGUCGUUAGUGUCUCAGAGCUGUCUGAGGUGUCCUGUACCACCGCCUGCUUUUGUUUUUAUUUGUCUGACUUGGUACUUCAUGUUAUAUUUUUUAUGACAGUAGAGCCACAGUAGAGCAAGUGAUAAUGCUAUUAACAGCACCGCCCUCGCUCCUAUCCAGCAUUUACAGGAUGGAUGUGAUGUGGGACGGCCAUAUGCGUGUUGAUGCGUGAAAUGAGAAUACAAUGGGUUUUAAAAGAUGUAAUAAAUGACAUUUACACCCACUGGUGUUCAUAAUAUUACAGUGUGUCAUUUCGAAGGUGUGUGGUUAAACACUUGUUUAUGAGCAACUGGGACUAGAGUGAAGCUGAACAGGGAAGUGAGUCAGGGAUGGGGUUACGAGCGCUACUGCUUUCGCCAAGCGUGAGGAGGAAGUGGCAGCACAUACACAGGUAGAUACAGUUAAAAGCAAACGCAGCGCAGUGAAGGCGACCGAGGACGAACAUGUCAGAUGGAGCAAAGCUGCUGUUUGAAGGCUUCUUAGAGAAAAGAAAGGACACUCUGAAGAUGAGGUGGACGACCUACUGGUUCAGGCUUCAGAAUUCAACUCUGUUCUUCUACACACAGAAGAACGGCAGCGCUUCACACUUAAGAGGCUAUUACUACAUCUAUUCAGUGCAGUCCGUGCGAGAGGUCCAAAAGGCCAGCGGCAGUCGCUACAUGUUUGAGAUGAUUCUGAAAAAUGGAAAGCAAAAACUGUUGGCGGCGGAGACGGCGGCGCUCAGACAGGAGUGGGUGGGACACCUGUGGCAGGCCAUGCUGCUCUCCACCUCCGUGGUCCCACGCCCCGACGCGUGCGAGCCGCGCGACAGGAACAGCAGCGUGCCCGCGCGCGCGCUCGGCGACAGCGCGAUGGAGACGCUCCCCGCGCGGCCCCUGUCGGCCCCCGCGCCGCUGGACCGCAUCCGCGAGGAGAGCUGGGCGUCCGCGUACGCGGAGCUGAGCGCCGGCGAGGAGCCCACGCGCCGAAACACGCCGCUCCACCAGGCAAACAGCGACCGCGUCCACGCGCUGCCGUGGUUCGGGGAGCUGAGCAGCACCGAGUGCAGCCAGGACGGAGACUACGACGUGUUGCCACGUAGAAAGCGUACGCAGCAGCCGCCUGGACAUGACGCAUGGGGUGAGCUGCUAGUUGAAUUCCCUGUGUGUGUCACCUCCUCAGACACGGACGAGGCAGACGCUACGGAAGCAGACGAGGUCGUGUACGACUACCCUCUGUCCUACAGGAUGAACAUCAGGCAUCAAGGUCAGAGGCGUCAAGGUCAAAGCACCAGCUUAAUGAGACGGCCUUUUAAAUGA